AGGCAAAGCCUUCCUUGUGCAGCAGGGAGACAGCUGAGCACUGUUACAGAUGCAUUUAAUCAGCCCAGAAUGAGUUUAACUGAGGAGUUAAUAGACAACCUAAUUAGUGACUUGUCUGUGGUCUAACUAGCCAGGUCAGGGAAGGGCACCGAAAGAGAAGUGAUGGAUUCUGCAAAGGGUCUGCACUUCCGCAGGAUUAAUGAAAACUGUGUUCCCUGUAUGAGAAUAUUCUCGAUCAACAAGAGGAAUGGAGGAAUUUUUUCAAAGUGUGAAGAUAUUGCAAAGAAAUGCAGAAGCAAAAUGAGUUUGAGCGUACUUAAAGGGCAGUGAUCUGAUGAAGAUGAGAAAUGCAGAGUUAAUGUUCUCUCCUGGAUUUCUUCACAAAUUUACCAAGCAAGAUUUCCGCAGACUUCUUCACAUCCCUGGAAACAAGGAAAAGGGAAUUUCCAGCAGCAGAGUGAAGAGAUGGAUGUUAGCAUGAUGCUGUGGCGGGUAAAACAGACGGGGACCACCACUGGCGAUGCAGGAAAGGGAGAGCAGGGAGAGCAUCCUUCCCCACCCUGAGCUUGGCUCUGCUCCCGCUGGGCUCAGGUCCCCAGCUCAGUGCCCUGCAGCCGUCCCCUCCUCAGACCUGCUCUGCCUUACUCCCGAAAGUGCCCUCGGAGCCGUCCUGCUAUCUCUCACCAGCUCCUAUCUAAUUUAUCCUGCCAGCUACCGAAAAGUUAUUUAAUCUAAAGCUCCUGUAAAAAGGAAAAAAACCCUGUUUUGUGCUAUGUCCUCUCCAUCCCCUCAUCCGAUGCCUGUGUGAACAUGGAUAAAAUCACUAUUUAAUAGCGCUGGUCAAGCCCUGCUGCUUGUUCAGGAAACUUGCUGGCAGCGUGUUUGGAUCAGCUAUUAAAAGUUUGUAUGAAACUUGUGAACAUCUUGCAGUCCACGAGGAAGGACAGAAGCAUCUGUAUGGCAGGGACAGCCCGAGAUGGGUCUGCAUCCACCUUACACCAGUGCUGCACAGGAGAACAUCACAGAGAUGGGGAUUCACCCAGCCAGGUUAUGGGGCUCCUGUUGGGGGAGUCUCCUCGGUUCCCCUUGGCCUCGGAGGAGAUAAACCAAUGGUUCUGGAGCCGUGGGGCAGUGUCCAUGACCCAGCUCCUCCUAAAGCAGAGAGGGGCUGGGUGGGGACCCUGCAGUGCACCCAGCCCCUGGCUGCUGCCCAUGGGGCUUGCUCGUACCCAAAGGAGCUUCCCGGAGCCCACAGGUGGAACCAAGGCAAAGUGAGUCAUGGAGAACAGAUGAAGACAUCACUCCAACAUCUCUCUGAAGGUGGCAAAAGCACAGCUUGGAUAAGUUUCAGGAGGGUUAAAUUUAUCCUAGAACAGUUUUCAGCUGUCUUCCCCUGCAAUCCCUCCCCAAGGUUUUUUUUUUUUUUUUUUUUUUUCCUAUCCCUUUUGCAGUCCCUGAAUCAUCAGCCUCUAAUUAUUGCCUGCAGAUAAACAUACACUUCUCCCUGGAAGAAGUCCAUAUUUUUUUUUUAAAACCUAAAAUUGAGGGCAGUUAGCAGAUGCUUGGGUAGUGUGAACGCCUGCAAUACAUUAUUAAAACAAGCUCUCACCCCUCUGCUUUGAGACAGUUGACACUGCUUUCUGUAACACUUAGGCUUUUUGGAAAGUUUUUGUAAUCCCAGGCAGAUAACAAUCUUCAGUCUGAGGAAUGUCAGACCGUGUAAUUUAACGGCCCUUUCUGGCACUAAAAUCAGGGAGUCAAUGAAGAUUUCUAUGCAGUGCAUAGCCUCAGCUAAAUGCUCCUGCAGCCAUUUAAAGCAGGAGUGGAAGAGCAGAGACAUAAGGGAGCCCUUUCCAACUUCACAAUUACAUCCUGUCGCUUGUGCUGGGUCCCCUGGGAACAUUUAAUGAUGCUGGAGACUCGGGGCCCAGGGCAGCAGAACCCUACUCCUGUGCUGUCCUUAUGUCUUUAACAUCUCUGCACCCACCACAUUUAAAAGCUGGAACAAGGACUAGAUUAAGCCACCGGCAACAAAUCAUUCCCAAGUAAUUGCAG